AUGCAUAGAUUCCUGAGAGUGGUGAUGGUGACCCUGUGGCUGCAACUGACAAGGGUGAACAGUCAACUAGCAGAAGAGAAUCCUUGGGCUUUGAGCAUCCAUGAGGGGGAAAAUGUCACCAUGAACUGUAGUUACAAGACAGCCAUAACUGUCCUACAGUGGUACAAACAGAAGUCAGGCGGAGGUCCUGCCCUGCUAAUGUUAAUACGUUCAAAUGAGAGAGAGAAGCACAGUGGAAGACUAAGAGCCACCCUUGAUACCUCCACACAGAACAGCUCCCUGUCCAUCACUGCUGCUCAGUUUGAAGACACUGCUGUGUACUUCUGUGCUACAGAUGCACAGUGUGCAACAGACACCUGUAGCCCCGACAUAAACCCUAAGAGCUGCUUCCUAGACCUCAAGGGUGGGUGA